rnacentral:rRNA from 1 species
GACGAACGCUGGCGGCGUGCUUAACACAUGCAAGUCGAACGGUGAACCUCUUCGUAGGGGAGCAGUGGCGGACGGGUGAGUAACACGUGGGCAACCUGCCCCCGGCUCGGGGAUAACUACAAGAAAGUGGGGCUAAUACCAGAUCUUCACCGCUUCCCGCAUGGGUGGUGGUGGAAAGGAUUUCCGGCUGGGGGUGGGCCCGCGGCCUAUCAGCUUGUUGGUGGGGUAGUGGCCUACCAAGGCGACGACGGGUAGCCGGCCUGAGAGGGUGAACGGCCACACUGGGACUGAGACACGGCCCAGACUCCUACGGGAGGCAGCAGUGGGGAAUAUUGCGCAAUGGGCGGAAGCCUGACGAAGCGACGCCGCGUGGGGGAUGACGGCCUUCGGGUUGUAAACCUCUUUCAGCAGGGACGAAGCGCUAGUGACGGUACCUGCAGAAGAAGCACCGGCUAACUACGUG